rnacentral:piRNA from 2 species
UCAACAAAUAUUUAUUGAGGGCCUACUAUGU